UGAGCAAUCUGCCCUUCACAUCGGAAUAACCAUUGGAAACGAUGGCUAAUACCGAAUAUGACUUCGGAUCGCAUGAUCGGAGGUGGAAAGCUCCGGCGGAGAAGGAUGAGCUCGCGGCCUAUCAGCUAGUUGGUGUGGGUAAUGGCCCACAAGGCGACGACGGGUAGCCGGCCUGAGGAGGGUCGACCGGCCACACUGGGACUGAGACACGGCCCAGACCUCGUACGGGA
rnacentral:rRNA from 1 species